GAGGAUGUAGCUCAGUGGUAAGGCACUUGCCUGGCAUGUAUGAAGCCCUGGGUUCGAUCCCCAGUACCAUAA
rnacentral:tRNA from 1 species